rnacentral:rRNA from 1 species
CAGUAGCCGCGGGAAUACGUAGGGUGCGAGCGUUAAUCGGAAUUACUGGGCGUAAAGCGUGCGCAGGCGGUUCGUUAAGACAGAUGUUAAAUCCCCGGGCUUAACCUGGGAACUGCGUUUGUGACUGGCGAGCUAGAGUAUGGCAGAGGGGGGUAGAAUUCCACGUGUAGCAGUGAAAUGCGUAGAGAUGUGGAGGAAUACCGAUGGCGAAGGCAGCCCCCUGGGCCAAUACUGACGCUCAUGCACGAAAGCGUGGGGAGCAAACAGGAUUAGAUACCCCCGUAGUCCCUGUCUCUUAUAA